rnacentral:rRNA from 1 species
GACGAACGCUGGCGGCGUGCUUAACACAUGCAAGUCGAACGAUGAACCCGGAGCUUGCUCCGGUGGAUUAGUGGCGAACGGGUGAGUAACACGUGAGUAACCUGCCCUUGACUCUGGGAUAACUGCGGGAAACUGUAGCUAAUACCGGAUACGACCCUCGGCGGCAUCGCCAGGGGGUGGAAGGAAUUUCGGUCAAGGAUGGACUCGCGGCCUAUCAGCUAGUUGGUGAGGUAACGGCUCACCAAGGAGACGACGGGUAGCCGGCCUGAGAGGGUGGCCGGCCACACCGGGACUGAGACACGGACAAGACUCGUACGGGAGGCAGCAGUGGGGAAUAUUGCACAAUGGGCGCAAGCCUGAGGCAGCAGCGCCGCGUGAGCGACGACGGCCUUCGGGUUGUAAACCUCUUUUAGUAGGGAAGAAGCGAAAGUGACGGUACCUGCAGAAAAAGCACCGGCUAACUACGUGCCAGCCGCCGCGGUAA